rnacentral:rRNA from 1 species
UAAUCCUGUUCGCUCCCCACGCUUUCGUCCCUCAGCGUCAGUACAUACGUAGUGGACUGCCUUCGCAAUCGGUAUUCUGUGUAAUAUCUAUGCAUUUCACCGCUACACUACACAUUCUAUCCACUUCCAUAUGACUCAAGUCAACCAGUAUCAAAGGCAGUUCCAUAGUUGAGCUAUGGGAUUUCACCUCUGACUUAAUAGACCGCCUGCGGACCCUUUAAACCCAAUGAUUCCGGAUAACGCUCGGACCCUCCGUAUUACCGCGGCUGCUGGCACGGAGUUAGCCGGUCCUUAUUCUUACAGUACCGUCAAGCUGGUAUACAUACCAGUGUUUCUUCCUGUAUAAAAGUAGUUUACAACCCAUAGGGCAUUCUUCCUACACGCGGCAUGGCUGGAUCAGAGUUGCCUCCAUUGUCCAAUAUUCCUCACUGCUGCCUCCCGUAGGAGUCUGGUCCGUGUCUCAGUACCAGUGUGGGGGAUCUCCCUCUCAGGACCCCUACCUAUCGAUGUCUUGGUGAGCCGUUACCUCACCAACAAACUAAUAGGACGCAUAGUCAUCUUGUACCGUAAUCUUUAAAGUAUAAAUGAUGCCAUAAAUACUUACUAUAGGGUAUUAAUCUUCGUUUCCAAAGGCUAUCCCCUAGUACAAGGUAGAUUCUAUACGCGUUACGCACCCGUGCGCCGGUCGUCAGCAAGUAGCAAGCUACCUCUGUUACCCCUCGACUUGCAUGUGUUAAGCCUGCCGCUAGCGUUCAUCCUGAGCCAGGAUCAAACUCU